rnacentral:rRNA from 1 species
GAUGAACGCUAGCGAUAGGCUUAACACAUGCAAGUCGAGGGGCAGCAUAUUCGAAGCUUGCUUUGAAUGAUGGCGACCGGCGCACGGGUGCGUAACGCGUAUGUAACCUGCCUGUCAGAAGGGAAUAACCCGGUGAAAGUCGGACUAAUACCCUAUAUGCUCACGAGAGGCUCCUGCCUUGGUGAGGAAAGAUUUAUCACUGACAGAUGAGCUCGCGUCCCAUUAGCUAGUUGGUGAGAUAAAAGCCCACCAAGGCAACGAUGGGUAGCCGGUCUGAGAGGAUGAACGGCCACAUUGGGACUGAGACACGGCCCAG